AAAUAGAAAAAGCAGAAUACUUUACUGUACUAACCCAACAAAGACAAAGAUCUAACCACUUGGGUUGUGUGCACUGUUUCACAGUUAUAUAUCCUCUCACCUUGCCUACCAAACCCCCUAGGAUCUUGCACACCUGCCUCCCUCCUCUUUUCUCACUCGUUCUUUACUCUUCUUCUUCUUCUUCAAAAAGCAAACCCCUUUCCCUUCCGUUGCUUUCCUCUCAUUUCUCUUCUCUCAAGUUUCAGAAACAGGAAAAUGCCUAUCAAUAAAGACCCUUCAACACCACCUCCCAUGAUUGGCAAAAUUGGGCCCUAUACUGUCUUCAUGACCCCACCUUCCACUCCCAGUCCCAAGUUUACUGCUACUGCUGCUGCUGCUGCUGCUAAUGAAUCAACAUUUCCUGUCUUUGAUUCACCUAAGAAGGUUGUUUCACCUCCUCCCGUCCAGCCUCCUCCUCAACAGAUUGACAAGUCUGUUUAUUCUCAUCAAGUUUCAGAUGGGUCUGUUCUUGGCCUCUUCAAAAAUGCUGUCAACAAAGUUCAAAAUGCGCAUUCAAGCUUGGAUGACCAUUUGGCAAGAUGGUUUGGGUUAAAUCAAUCUAAGUAUCAGUGGGCUUUGGAUGAUUACUAUGAAACCAAGGGUCUGUCCUAACUUUGAGAGAGAAGGGAGAAAAUCGCUUGAAAACAGCGAGGAGAGAGAAAAUUAUCGGAAAAGGAAGGUGCUAAAGCCAAAGAAAUAUCUAGCAAAGUACAGAGUGUGUAGCAUGGUUUGCCUGGUAAUUUUACAGGAAAGAACCAUCUCGAAUCUCCUUUUCAUACCAUAUCUGUAUUAGUUAAUGGGAUUGCAGAAAUGCAUCUGGAUGCUUGAGUGGACCAUUGUGCAAGUUUUUGAGAUCUGCUCGUUUGAAUUUUCUACUUGCUGCCGCAGCCAACCAGAAUUCGGUUGUGCACUAGGCUGUGAAUUAUGUAACCUUACAAUAUUUUCAUGCCCCGAUAUCUGUUAUGUAUUCUGUUGAGCUGCAAUCUAAUAACAGUACUAUCAAGUUGCGAGGAUAUAUUAUAAUGUAUUUGUACGUAUAAUUUAACUAAAGUAGUAUUUGAAAUGAGUAUAUUGUAUCAAGGUUUUUUA